rnacentral:rRNA from 1 species
CGGGAUAGCCUCGGGAAACUGAGAGUAAUACCGUAUGUGCCCCUCGGGGGAAAGAUUUAUCGCCUUUGGAUCGGCCCGCGUUGGAUUAGGUAGUUGGUGGGGUAAUGGCCUACCAAGCCGACGAUCCAUAGCUGGUUUGAGAGGAUGAUCAGCAACACUGGGACUGAGACACGGCCCAGACUCCUACGGGAGGCAGCAGUGGGGAAUCUUAGACAAUGGGCGAAAGCCUGAUCUAGCCAUGCCGCGUGAGCGAUGAAGG